AUGAACGCUGGCGGCGUGUUUUAGGCAUGCAAGUCGAACGAGUGUAGCAAUACACAAGUGGCAAACGGGUGCGUAACACAUUGGUAACCUACCCCGAAGUUCGGGAAAACCGGCCGAAAGGCUGGCUAAUCCCGGAUGUGUCCAUCUCGCUUCUGCGAGAUGAGUAAAGGCUUUGGUCGCUUCGGGAAGGGCCUAUGGUCUAUCAGCUUGUUGGUGAGGUAAUAGCUCACCAAGGCGAUGACAGAUAGCGGGUGUGAGAGCAUGACCCGCCUCACUGGGACUGAGACACUGCCCAGACUCCUACGGGAGGCUGCAGUCAAGAAUCUUCCCCAAUGGCCGAAAGGCUGAGGGAGCGACGCCGCGUGCAGGAAGAAGCCCUUCGGGGUGUAAACUGCUUUUCUCUGGGAAAAACUCUGAUGGUACCAGAGGAAUAAGGGGCUGCUAACUUCGU
rnacentral:rRNA from 1 species